rnacentral:rRNA from 1 species
GUGGGGAAUAUUGCACAAUGGGCGCAAGCCUGAUGCAGCGACGCCGCGUGGGGGAUGACGGCCUUCGGGUUGUAAACCUCUUUCACCAUCGACGAAGCCUUCGGGUGACGGUAGGUGGAGAAGAAGCACCGGCCAACUACGUGCCAGCAGCCGCGGUAAUACGUAGGGUGCGAGCGUUGUCCGGAAUUACUGGGCGUAAAGAGCUCGUAGGUGGUUUGUCGCGUUGUUCGUGAAAUGCCACAGCUUAACUGUGGGCGUGCGGGCGAUACGGGCAGACUGGAGUACUGCAGGGGAGACUGGAAUUCCUGGUGUAGCGGUGGAAUGCGCAGAUAUCAGGAGGAACACCGGUGGCGAAGGCGGGUCUCUGGGCAGUAACUGACGCUGAGGAGCGAAAGCGUGGGGAGCGAACAGGAUUAGAAACCCUAGUAGUCC